rnacentral:rRNA from 1 species
UACGAAGGGGGCUAGCGUUGUUCGGAAUUACUGGGCGUAAAGCGCACGUAGGCGGAUUUUUAAGUCAGGGGUGAAAUCCCGAGGCUCAACCUCGGAACUGCCUUUGAUACUGGAGAUCUUGAGUUCGGAAGAGGUUGGUGGAACAGCUAGUGUAGAGGUGAAAUUCGUAGAUAUUCGGCGGAACACCGGUGGCGAAGGCGGCCUGCUGGGCAGUAGCUGACGCUGAAGCGCGACAGCGUGGGGAGCAAACAGG